GAGGACUUAGCUUAAGUAAAGCGGUUGGUUUGCGUUCAGAUGAUGUAAGAAGAUUCUUGCAGUCCUUA
rnacentral:tRNA from 1 species